GCAGUCGAACGGUGUAGCAAUACAUAGUGGCGCACGGGUGCGUAACACGUAUGCAACCUACCUUAUACUGGGGGAUAGCCUUUGGAAACGGAGAUUAAUACCCCAUAGUACAUUUGAUUGGCAUCAAUUAAAUGUUAAAGAUUUAUCGGUAUAAGCUGGGCAUGCGUCCAAUUAGUUAGUUGGUGAGGUAAUGGCUCACCAAGACUUUGAUUGGUAGGGGAACUGAGAGGUUAAUCCCCCACACUGGCACUGAGAUACGGGCCAGACUCCUACGGGAGGCAGCAGUAGGGAAUAUUGGGCAAUGGAGGCAACUCUGACCCAGCCAUGCCGCGUGCAGGAAGAAGGCGUUAUGCGUUGUAAACUGCUUUUAUAUAGGAAGAAAUAGUCCUUGCGAGGAAAGUUGACGGUACUAUAUGAAUAAGCACCGGCUAACUCCGUGCCAGCAGCCGCGGUAAUACGGAGGGUGCAAGCGUUGUCCGGAUUUAUUGGGUUUAAAGGGUGCGUAGGCGGUUUAUUAAGUCAGUGGUGAAAGACGGUCGCUCAACGAUUGCAGUGCCAUUGAUACUGGUAGACUUGAGUGGGAUUGAGGUAGCUGGAAUGGAUAGUGUAGCGGUGAAAUGCAUAGAUAUUAUCCAGAACACCAAUUGCGUAGGCAAGUUACUAAGUCUCAACUGACGCUGAG
rnacentral:rRNA from 1 species